rnacentral:rRNA from 1 species
AUUGAACGCUGGCGGCAUGCCUUACACAUGCAAGUCGAACGGCAGCACGGGGCAACCUGGUGGCGAGUGGCGAACGGGUGAGUAAUGCAUCGGAACGUACCUUUCAGUGGGGGAUAACGUAGCGAAAGUUACGCUAAUACCGCAUAUUCUGUGAGCAGGAAAGCAGGGGAUCGCAAGACCUUGCGCUGAUUGAGCGGCCGAUGUCAGAUUAGCUAGUUGGUGAGGGAAAGGCUCACCAAGGCGACGAUCCGUCGCGGGUCUGAGAGGAUGAUCCGCCACACUGGAACUGAGACACGGUCCAGACUCCUACGGUAGGCAGCAGGGGGGAAUUUUGGACAAUGGGGGCAACCCUGAUCCAGCCAUGCCGCGUGAGUGAAGAAGGCCUUCGGGUUGUAAAGCUCUUUCGGCCGGGAAGAAAUCGCACGGGCUAAUACCCUGUGUGGAUGACGGUACCGGAAUAAGAAGCACCGGCUAACUACGUGCCAGCAGCCGCAGUAACAC